CGGACAGGUGAGUAACGCGUGAGGAACCUGCCUCAAAGAGGGGGACAACAGUUGGAAACGACUGCUAAUACCGCAUAAGCCCACGGUUCGGCAUCGAGCAGAGGGAAAAGGAGCAAUCCGCUUUGAGAUGGCCUCGCGUCCGAUUAGCUAGUUGGUGAGGUAACGGCCCACCAAGGCGACGAUCGGUAGCCGGACUGGGAGGUUGAACGGCCACAUUGGGACUGAGACACGGCCCAG
rnacentral:rRNA from 1 species